rnacentral:rRNA from 1 species
UACGAAGGGUGCAAACGUUGCUCGGAAUUAUUGGGCGUAAAGCGCACGUAGGCGGCUAUCUAAGUCGGAUGUGAAAUCCCUCGGCUUAACCAAAGAAGUGCACCCGAAACUGGAUAGCUUGAGUACAGAAGAGGAUCGCGGAAUUCCCGGUGUAGAGGUGAAAUUCGUAGAUAUCGGGAGGAACACCAGUGGCGAAGGCGGCGACCUGGGCCAAUAUUGACGCUGAGGUGCGAAAGCGUGGGGAGCAAACAGG